UGAAAAUGGAUGGGCUGAAGGGAGAACUGUUCGUUUCUCUACUAACUGCGUGGAAUACCGUGAAUAACACUACUCCGAUUUAGCGACAUGUGACUGAAAGUGGGCCAGUUGUGGAGGAGAAGCGGCCAGUGUGGACUGCACAGGCUCUCCGACUCUACAUGGAUCGCAUCAAGUUGACGCUGGUGGAGAGUUUCGGAGGGUGACAGAGUAGCAAAAACCGCUCGAUUGGAAAACAAUUAGACAUUGGUUGGACUGGAACCGGGUUGUCGGACUCAGGUCUUGACAGGAUUGUCUGGACAGGAUUUCCACGCCCUUCCUGACUGAUGGUAUACGGAGUGAGGCUGAAUCAAUUUUGUCUGGGGGGGGAGGGGCAAUGUCGUGUACAAACUAGAAUCAAAAAAGUGCUCUGCACCGUUCCAGAUUGGACUGGAGCCCGAAGUGAAAGUGAAGCGAUUUGCCCAACGGAACGGCGACCAAAGGAAAGCCGCUGACACCUUGGUCUGAUCAGGAUGUAGGGAGGAGUGCUGUGAAGCUCUGGACCUGGCUGUAAUACUGUUAUAUGGUUUAUCAAGAGGGCGAGAGUUAGAAUAGACAAUCCGUCACAAAACACUGCUGUAUUUCAACUUUGCCAAGCAGCAUAGAAACACGCUGGGAAAGAGCGUCAGCUCCGGAGCAAUCCCGCCAUCUAGUGGACUGGACGGGACAAGCACAAUUAUGUUCAAUCGAAAGAGAAAAUCUGCAGUCUAAUGUUGCCCCCUAACGAUGCAAUGUUACAAAUUUAAGAAAACGCCUGUAUUUUUUUCCUUUUACGCGGGUACUCUGAAAAUAUUCUGUGAUCUAUAUUGUGAAUCCCUAACAAAUAAUAAUCUCUUGGGGAACUAUGUAAUUUUCUGACUCAAAGAUUUAGUGUAGAUCUCGCAAUUUUUAUUAAAAAAUCAAAUCAAA